rnacentral:rRNA from 1 species
UACGUAGGGGGCAAGCGUUGUCCGGAAUCAUUGGGCGUAAAGCGCGUGUAGGCGGCUCGAUAAGUCUGCUGUGAAAGUCCAGGGCUCAACCCUGGAAUGCCGGUGGAAACUGUCGAGCUAGAGUCCGGAAGAGGCGAGUGGAAUUCCUGGUGUAGCGGUGAAAUGCGCAGAUAUCAGGAGGAACACCAAUGGCGAAGGCAGCUCGCUGGGACGGUACUGACGCUGAGACGCGAAAGCGUGGGAGCAACAG